GUUGGAUCCAUGAUGUUAAUUUACAAACUGCGUUAUCUAUCUGAGCUUCCUUUUUAAAGGGAUUGAAGAUAUUUUCCAUACUGAUAUCCAUU